rnacentral:rRNA from 1 species
CGGGAGAGUAACACAUUGGGAAUCUACCUUGAAGACGAGGAUAACCUUGCGAAAGCGAGAAUAAUACUCGAUGGUAUUAAAGGACACAAGUCUUUUAAUUAAAGCUCCGGCGCUUCAAGAGGACCCUAUGACUUAUCAGCUAGUUGGCGGGGUAAUGGCCCACCAAGGCUAUGGCGAGUACCGGGUGUGAGAGCACGGCCCGGCUCACUGGGACUGAGACACUGCCCAGACUCCUACGGGAGGCUGCAGUCAGGAAUAUUCCUCAAUGGCCGAAAGGCUGAAGGAGCGACGCCGCGUGCAUGAAGAAGCCCUUCGGGGUGUAAAGUGCUUUUAACUGGGAAGAAUUUAUGACGGUACCAGUUGAAUAAGGGGCUGCUAACCUCGUGCCAGCAGCAGCGGUAAUACGAGGGCCCCAAGCAUUAUCCGGAUUUAUUGGGCGUAAAGCGUCCGCGGACGGCUGAUCACAUCUUCUGUUAAAUCUUCAGGCUCAACCUGGGGGCUGCGGGAGAGAUGGGUCGGCUAGAGACUGGAAGAGGCAAGCAGAAUUGCU